rnacentral:rRNA from 1 species
UACGUAGGGUGCGAGCGUUGUCCGGAAUUAUUGGGCGUAAAGGGCUCGUAGGCGGUUUGUCGCGUCGGGAGUGAAAACCUCGGGCUUAACUCGGGGCUUGCUUUCGAUACGGGCAGACUAGAGGUAUGCAGGGGAGAACGGAAUUCCUGGUGUAGCGGUGAAAUGCGCAGAUAUCAGGAGGAACACCGGUGGCGAAGGCGGCAUCCUGGACCAAUACUGACACUGAAAAGCGAAAGCCAGGGGAGCAAACGGG